AACGCACAUUGCGCCCCCUGGCAUUCCGGGGGGCAUGCCUGUCCGAGCGUCAUUGCACCAGCUCAAGCACGGCUUGUGUGAUGGGCCCCAGCGUCUCCAUCCCCGGAGACGGGCCCGAAAGGCAGUGGCGGCGCCGCGGUAAUCCGAUCGCCUGCAGUGUAUGGGAACCUAACACAUGCCAGCAGUAUGGACCGGUGCCUCGCCCAGGGACCUUAGUGUCACAACAUACCAAGGUUGACCUCGGAUCAGGUAGGGAUACCCGCUGAACUUAA
rnacentral:misc_RNA from 1 species